rnacentral:rRNA from 1 species
AUUGAACGCUGGCGGCAUGCUUUACACAUGCAAGUCGAGCGGCAGCGCGGGGGCAACCCUGGCGGCGAGCGGCGAACGGGUGAGUAAUGCAUCGGAACGUAUCCUCGAGUGGGGGAUAACCCAGCGAAAGUUGGGCUAAUACCGCACGAGCUCUGAGGAGGAAAGCGGGGGACCUGCGAGGGCCUCGCGCUGGAGGAGCGGCCGAUGUCCGAUUAGCUAGUUGGUGGGGUAAAGGCUUACCAAGGCGACGAUCGGUAGCUGGUCUGAGAGGAUGAUCAGCCACACUGGGACUGAGACACGGCCCAGACUCCUACGGGAGGCAGCAGUGGGGAAUUUUGGACAAUGGGGGCAACCCUGAUCCAGCCAUGCCGCGUGAGUGAAGAAGGCCUUCGGGUUGUAAAGCUCUUUCGGACGGAACGAAAUGGGCGGGACUAAUACUCCUGUCUGAUGACGGUACCGUAAGAAGAAGCACCGGCUAACUACGUG